rnacentral:tRNA from 1 species
GCGGAUCUCGUACAGUGGCAGUACCUCGGCGUGCCAAGCCGGCAACGUGGGUUCGAUUCCCGCGAUCCGCUCCA